rnacentral:rRNA from 1 species
CUCUUGACAUCCAGAGAACUUAGCAGAGAUGCUUUGGUGCCUUCGGGAACUCUGAGACAGGUGCUGCAUGGCUGUCGUCAGCUCGUGUUGUGAAAUGUUGGGUUAAGUCCCGCAACGAGCGCAACCCUUAUCCUUUGUUGCCAGCGGUUCGGCCGGGAACUCAAAGGAGACUGCCAGUGAUAAACUGGAGGAAGGUGGGGAUGACGUCAAGUCAUCAUGGCCCUUACGAGUAGGGCUACACACGUGCUACAAUGGCAUAUACAAAGAGAAGCGACCUCGCGAGAGCAAGCGGACCUCAUAAAGUAUGUCGUAGUCCGGAUUGGAGUCUGCAACUCGACUCCAUGAAGUCGGAAUCGCUAGUAAUCGUAGAUCAGAAUGCUACGGUGAAUACGUUCCCGGGCCUUGUACACACCGCCCGUCACACCAUGGGAGUGGGUUGCAAAAGAAGUAGGUAGCUUAACCUUCGGGAGGGCGCUUACCACUUUGUGAUUCAUGACUGGGGUGAAGUCGUAACAAGGUAACCGUAGGGGAACCUGCGGUUGGAUCACCUCCUUACCUUAAAGAA